UACAGAGGGUGCGAGCGUUGUUCGGAAUUAUUGGGCGUAAAGCGCUGGUAGGUGGCUUGUUAAGUCGCGUGUGAAAGCUCCAGGCUCAACCUGGAAAGUGCGCGCGAAACUGGCGAGCUUGAGUGCCGGAGAGGGUCGCGGAAUUCCCGGUGUAGAGGUGAAAUUCGUAGAUAUCGGGAGGAACACCAGAGGCGAAGGCGGCCUUCUGGACCAAUACUGACGCUCAUGCACGAAAGCGUGGGGAGCAAACAGG
rnacentral:rRNA from 1 species